rnacentral:tRNA from 1 species
GGCCACGUGGCGGAGUGGUUACGCAUGGCUCUGCAAAAGCCCUUAUUCCGGUUCGAUUCCGGACGUGGCCUCCA